rnacentral:misc_RNA from 1 species
UCCGGUUUGGCACCGGCAGUCUCACUAGAGUGCCCGGCAUGACCCGCUGGUAACUAGUGACAAGGGUUGCGCUCGUUGCGGGACUUAACCCAACACCUCACGGCACGAGCUGACGACAGCCGUGCAGCACCUGUGCACGCUCCCUUGCGGGUCCUUCGGGUUUCCCCUCCGUACCACGUGCAUGUCAAGCCCGGGUAAGGUUCUUCGCGUUGCAUCGAAUUAAACCACACGCUCCGCUGCUUGUGCGGGCCCCCGUCAAUUUCUUUGAGUUUUAACCUUGCGGCCGUACUCCCCAGGCGGAUGACUUAACGCGUUAGCUGCGCCACCGAAGCGCCAAGCGCCCCGACAGCUAGUCAUCAUCGUUUACGGCGUGGACUAC